rnacentral:rRNA from 1 species
UGGCGAACGGGUGAGUAACACGUGGGCAAUCUGCCCCUCACUGUGGGAUAACUCCGGGAAACCGGGGCUAAUACCGCAUAUGAAGCCUGGCGGCAUCGCCGGGUUUGGAAAGUUUUUCGGUGAGGGAUGAGCCCGCGGCCUAUCAGCUUGUUGGUGAGGUAAUGGCUCACCAAGGCGACGACGGGUAGCCGGCCUGAGAGGGCGACCGGCCACACUGGGACUGAGACACGGCCCAG